GGAGGAGGUUCUCAAUUCGACUGUAUGGUUUUUGUAUGUUUGUUAUGCGAUUACUCCGCCAAUUAUGAAGCCAUUUUGAUGAUUCUUGUUUUGUUUGGUAGUAGCUUUGAUUCUUA